rnacentral:rRNA from 1 species
GAUGAACGCUGGCGGCGUGCCUAAUACAUGCAAGUCGAGCGAACAGACGAGGAGCUUGCUCCUCUGACGUUAGCGGCGGACGGGUGAGUAACACGUGGAUAACCUACCUAUAAGUCUGGGAUAACUUCGGGAAACCGGAGCUAAUACCGGAUAAUAUAUUGAACCGCAUGGUUCAAUAGUGAAAGACGGUUUUGCUGUCACUUAUAGAUGGAUCCGCGCCGCAUUAGCUAGUUGGUAAGGUAACGGCUUACCAAGGCAACGAUGCGUAGCCGACCUGAGAGGGUGAUCGGCCACACUGGAACUGAGACACGGUCCAGACUCCUACGGGAGGCAGCAGUAGGGAAUCUUCCGCAAAGGGCGAAAGCCUGACGGAGCAACGCCGCGUGAGUGAUGAAGGUCUUCGGAUCGUAAAACUCUGUUAUUAGGGAAGAACAAAUGUGUAAGUAACUAUGCACGUCUUGACGGUACCUAAUCAGAAAGCCACGGUUAACUACGUG